AUUUUAUUUUUUUGUUAUAAUUACUUAUUAUUAAUACCAAAAAGAUUAAUUUAAAUAAUUUAUCAUUGAUGAUAUAUUCUUUUGUUUAACUACUUUUAUAAUUAUAAACAUCAUUUUUCAAGAUUUUUUUUUUUUUCAUUUCCAUUGUUAUUCACGUGACGUAUACAUUAGUAUUUCCUUCAUAAAAUUUAUCAGCCAUAUUAAUUAGAUACCACCGAGAGUUCAC
rnacentral:lncRNA from 1 species